ensembl:processed_transcript B430010I23Rik RIKEN cDNA B430010I23 gene
AGUGAGUGUUGACAUCUGUCCUAACUCACUUCCCUAAACCACACUCAGCCUUCUCCAGCAAGAUCCAGCGUGAGGACAUCAAGCUGUUUCCUAACAGUGAGUGCCUUGUACACACUAGGCAACUAGCGAACAUUCACUGAUGGAUUAUAAAACAGAGAAGGGGUGGAGAACAUCCAACAUGGGGAUUCUGUGUGCUCUUGUAAGAUGUUUCUGCAGUUCCACCCUCGCCCUUCGCUCGUCCACUCAGGUACUGUCUGAAUUGUCAACUUCAAUUCUUGGGGUGGUUUUACAAGAAGGAACUGGAAGCAGACUCUGCUAUCAAUGAACUUUCAUCGUAAGGAGCCAAAACAGAGGCUGGAGCAAUGAGUCAGUGGUUAAGAGCACUGGCUGGCUCUUCCAGAGAACCCUGGGGUCAAGUUCAAUUCUCAGCAACUAAGGACAGCUUACAACUGUCUGAAAGUCCAGUACCCUCUCUUCUGGCUUCUGUGGGCACCGCAUGUAAGUGGUGCAAAGACAUACACGUGACAAACACCUAAAAUAAUAAAAUAUGUUAUUUCUUUUAAAAGCAGAAGCAAGCACAGAGUGAGGAGUUAUCAUAUAGAAAGGAAGUAUAAGAUCCUGGAGUCCAGAGGGUGGGUAAAGAUAGAGCUAGAAGCCCCCGGGGUCUCCUUAAGGAGGGGGCCCAUGGGCUUGAUAUUUGUUAAGGUCACUGUUACACAGCCAUUCUGCUGUGGAUUGGAAAGAAACACUCGGGCACUGAAAGCUUGACACCCCAGCAUGCUGGUCCUGUUGAGAGACAUGGAUCAUGAGUACGCUAACUUCAUCAGUGGAUUAGUUUUCUCAAGGUGUCAGAGCUGAAUGGGCUGUUAGGAGGUAGAACAUGAUUGGAAGUGGGGUUUUAAAGGGUACAGUUUGUGUCUGGCCUCUUCCUUUCUCUUUUUCUUUCUCUCUUUGUCUCUUUGUCUGUCUCUCUGUCUCUCUGUGUCUCUUUCGGUUUCUCUCUGUUUUAUUAUCUUGCUGUUUCUCUCUCUCUCUCUCUCUCUCUCUCUCUCUCUCACUCUUGCUCUCUUUCUCUUGUCUAUAAUGGCGUGAGUCACUAUCUCCAUCACUUGUUUCCUGUCAGGAUGUUCUGCCUCACCCAAAAGCAAUGGACC